rnacentral:misc_RNA from 1 species
GCUUCUGCACUUAAUUCUGGGGCUUGUGGGUAUGGUUCCUUAGCACCAGGUUUCAAUAGAGGAUACCUUGCAGCUGGCAUUCCUACUCUCUACAAAGAUGGGGCUGGUUGUGGUGCCUGUUUUCAGAUAAGAUGCAAAAACAAAGCCCUUUGUAGUAGCAAAGGCAUUAAAGUGAUCAUGACUGAUCUCAAUCGCAAUAAUCAGACAGAUUUUGUUCUUAGUAGUAGAGCUUUUAUGGCCAUGGCGAACCAGGGUAUGGGUCAAAACAUUUUAAAACUUGGGAUUGUCGAUGUCGAAUAUAAAAGGGUACCUUGUGAAUACAAAAACCAGAAUUUGGGCGUGCGAGUAGAAGAAUCAAGCCAAUAUCCAAAUUACUUGGCCAUCAAAUUGUUAUAUCAAGGUGGUCAGACAGAAAUAGUAGCAAUUGAUAUAGCUAAGGUUGGUUCUUCAAACUGGAGUUACAUGAGACGGAACUACGGGGCGGUAUGGGAUUCGAGCAGAGUUCCGGCGGGGGCUCUGCAAUUCCGAUUUGUGGUAACAGCUGGAUAUGAUGGGAAGUGGAUUUGGGCAAAGAGUGUUCUUCCUGCAGAUUGGAAACCAGGGGUCGUAUAUGACUCAGGAAUUCAAAUUACUGAUAUUGCACAAGAGGGUUGCUCUCCAUGUGAUGAUGGGACUUGGAGAUGAGGCUAAUAGAUAAAUAAACAUUUUACUCUAAUAAGGCCAGAUUUUUAAUACGAC